rnacentral:rRNA from 1 species
GACGAACGCUGGCGGCGUGCUUAACACAUGCAAGUCGAACGGAAAGGCCCUGCUUUUGUGGGGUGCUCGAGUGGCGAACGGGUGAGUAACACGUGAGUAACCUGCCCUUGACUUUGGGAUAACUUCAGGAAACUGGGGCUAAUACCGGAUAGGAGCUCCUGCUGCAUGGUGGGGGUUGGAAAGUUUCGGCGGUUGGGGAUGGACUCGCGGGUUAUCAGCUUGUUGGUGGGGUAGUGGCUUACCAAGGCUUUGACGGGUAGCCGGCCUGAGAGGGUGACCGGCCACAUUGGGACUGAGAUACGGCCCAGAGUCGUACGGGAGGCAGCAGUGGGGAAUAUUGCACGAUGGGCGGAAGCCUGAUGCAGCAACGCCGCGUGCGGGAUGACGGCCUUCGGGUUGUAAACCGCUUUCGCCUGUGACGAAGCGUGAGUGACGGUAAUGGGUAAAGAAGCACCGGCUAACUACGUG